rnacentral:rRNA from 1 species
UAAUUGAAGAGUUUGAUCAUGGCUCAGAUUGAACGCUGGCGGCAGGCCUAACACAUGCAAGUCGAGCGGCAGCACAGAGGAACUUGUUCCUUGGGUGGCGAGCGGCGGACGGGUGAGUAAUGCCUGGGAAAUUGCCCGGUAGAGGGGGAUAACCAUUGGAAACGAUGGCUAAUACCGCAUAACCUCGUAAGAGCAAAGCAGGGGACCUUCGGGCCUUGCGCUACCGGAUAUGCCCAGGUGGGAUUAGCUAGUUGGUGAGGUAAGGGCUCACCAAGGCGACGAUCCCUAGCUGGUCUGAGAGGAUGAUCAGCCACACUGGAACUGAGACACGGUCCAGACUCCUACGGGAGGCAGCAGUGGGGAAUAUUGCACAAUGGGCGCAAGCCUGAUGCAGCCAUGCCGCGUGUAUGAAGAAGGCCUUCGGGUUGUAAAGUACUUUCAGUAGGGAGGAAGAUGGUUAAGUUAAUACCUUAAUCAUUUG